rnacentral:rRNA from 1 species
UGGGGAAUUGUUCACAAUGGGCGCAAGCCUGAUGACGCAACGCCGCGUGGGGGAUGAAGGUCUUCGGAUCGUAAACCCCUGUCGAAUGGGACGAAAGACUCGCGAGUGAAUACUUCGCGAGAGUGACGGUACCGUUAAAGGAAGCCACGGCUAACUCUGUGCCAGCAGCCGCGGUAAUACAGAGGUGGCAAGCGUUGUUCGGAAUUACUGGGCGUAAAGGGCGCGUAGGCGGCCCUCUAAGUCAGACGUGAAAUCCCCCGGCUUAAUCUGGGAACUGCGUCUGAUACUGGAGGGCUUGAGUAUGGGAGAGGGAUGUAGAAUUCCAGGUGUAGCGGUGAAAUGCGUAGAUAUCUGGAGGAAUACCGGUGGCGAAGGCGGCAUCCUGGACCAUUACUGACGCUGAGGCGCGAAAGCUAGGGGAGCAAACGGGAUUAGAUACCCGGGUAGUCCCUGAGCGGGCUGGCAAGGCGCAU